UUUAAAACUUUUACUACUUUUAAAACACAUUAAAAGAUAAUUGGAGUGGGACAUUCAGAGCUGGGAUCUAGAAAGAAGAAAAUCAUCAUUAAAAAGUAUUAAAAUCCUUUUGCUCCCAACUCUUGACAAUUUAAUUGAGACUCCAAAAACCUCAAAUUUCACUGUAAUUUUUGGUUCCAUUUUAAGGAUGUUAUUUAAAAGUUCAAUAAAUGUUGAAAGGGUUAGCCUGCCAUUCAUUAUUUUGGGAACAAAAAAUUUGAUUUAUGUUCUAAGAAUUAGUUCUAGUUUUGAGUGACAGCCAUUUUUCUGUAUUUUGUGUCAUAUAAGCCCAUGCGGGCUGGGCAUAUUAGUGCAUGAGACUUAAAUAAAAUCAAACUCAUAAAAAAAGUUGGAGGAGAAAAUGUUUCUACUUUAUAGUGAUUUCCUUAAGAUUCAUGUUGUUUUUCCCUAUUUUUAGGCUACUUCUUUUCGUCAAAAAAAAGCAUCUCUUUUGUGUCCGCGGUUUUAACAGGCUCCAGUUGUUUCUGCAUGAUCAACAAGCCCGACCACAGAACAAGAAGGUGAUGGCGCGGCCCGUGAGAUCCCGAAGAGGGUCCUCGCUGAACGCUGGUAAGGAGAGGUCGAUUGCAGAACAAAGCUCAGGAGGCUAUGCACCAUGUUGAGUAAAAUGGUAUCUGUCCACCAAGGGAGAAAAAACAGGCCGUUUGCGUUACUGCCCGCCAAAACAAUCAUAGUUAACAAAACGGAGGAUCAGUGAGGAGGACGUUGGGAGGUGCAACAGAAACAGGAAAUAGGAGCCCCUGCAGACUUCUUCCUCAACACCUGCUGACUCCGCCCACCCCCCCUGCAGAGAUGAUUGAGGCUGCCACCCUCCACCAAUCACCUGGCUGGGAGGGAAGCUUAAAAGCUCCCAGGAUCCUCUGCUCCAGUGGCAGCUGAAUUCCUGAGAGGAAUUCACUCUUCAGCCUGCCGCCGCCGCCGCCGCUGCUGUCCGUCCGUCCGUCCGUCCUGUCCGGCCUCAGCCCGUGAAAGCCUCUGGUUUCCCUCUCUUUUCUUUGUUCUGGCUUUGUCCUUUUGUUAAAUUGAACCUCGUGAAUAUUUUUUGCUUACUAUAGAGUUUACGUUAAUUCAUCAUUUCAGUCUUUGGUUGGUUAGUGUCCUUGAUUUUUACGCUGCAACACCUGCCACCUGGCACCCGAAUAAACGUGUGUGGUCAACCUAAGCCCGCCCGGUUAGUUUUUCUUUCUGUUACCUAUUUUCUCCCUCCUCCCUGAAGAGGGACGUAACAGUGUAGGAAUACAGAAGAAAAAGAAGGACAUUUCUAAAGAACGUCUUCUAGAACCUCAUCCAAAACCCACCAUAUAGCAAAGAUGUAUCCUCUGGUAUAAAGGAAGUCAUGUUCCAACACAAAACAUUCAUUUACUGUUGUCCUGGAGCAGAAUCAGAUGGAAAACAGGACAGAAAUUUCAAUCUGCAACCACAUUUUCCACAGUAUUUGGAGGAUGCAACUGUGGAGCAACAUCAACUUUUUUUCCUGCAACUAGCAGCCCUGUAAUGCGUUUGAAAGAACAGAAAUGGGGGACUACGGAAGCCUGGAAGGGAGGAAGAUGAAUGGCAUCCGGAAUGUGUGAACUUGCACCAGCCACUGUAUUCAAACGGAUAAUGGAAAAGAAAACUUUUGUGGCGUCAAAUGUGUUAUGCUCUUAAUCAAGAUUUUAGAAACUUUGAGAUACCCCAACAGGUACCUGCAGUAUGGAAAUAUUACCGAUUUUACCAAAAGAAACGGACGAUUCUUUAUGAAAGUGAUCUAAAAAGAAAAAAAAAAAAAUAACACCAUGGUUCUGUGCAUGGCCGUAUAUAGACAUGGGCAAGAGGAGGGCAAUGUCCCACUUUAAAUAUGAUGACUCGCAAAAAAUCCAACUACAAAAAAUAAAAAUUACAACCAAAAAAAAAACCCUCACAAAGAGCCAAAAGUCAAAUAAAUUGACAAAAACACAACAAAUGUAACGAAUCGAGUAAAAAAAACACACAAGGAUCGACGACAGAUGGAUUAAAAGACAGACCAAAAAAAAAAAAAAAAAA